rnacentral:tRNA from 1 species
GGCUUCAUAGCUCAGUGGUAGAGCAUUUGCACCGGAAUCGCCAAAGGUCAUGGGUUCGAAUCCCGUUGGAGCCU